rnacentral:SRP_RNA from 1 species
GCCGGGUGCGGUGGCUCACACCUGUAGUCCCAGCACUUUGGGAGGCCGAGGCGGGUGGAUCACCUGAGGUCAGGAGUUCAAGACCAGCCUGGCCAACAUGGUGAAACCCCGUCUCUA